AUUGAACGCUGGCGGCAUGCCUAACACAUGCAAGUCGAACGAGUGGCGGACGGGCGAGUAAUGUCUGGGAAACUGCCUGAUGGAGGGGGAUAACUACUGGAAACGGUAGCUACUACCGCAUACCAUCAGAUGUGCCCAGAGGGGAUUAGCUUGUUGGUGGGGUAACGGUUCACCAAGGCGACGAUCCCUAGCUGGUCUGAGAGGAUGAUCAGCCACACUGGAACUGAGACACGGUCCAGACUCCUACGGGAGGCAGCAGUAGGGAAUAUUGCACAAUGGGCGCAAGCCUGAUGCAGCCAUGCCGCGUGUAUGAAGAAGGCCUUCGGGUUGUAAAGUACUUUUGGCAGGGAGGCGUUACCCACAGAAGAAGCCCCGGCUAACUCCGUGCCAGCAGCCGCGGUAAUAC
rnacentral:rRNA from 1 species